rnacentral:rRNA from 1 species
GACGAACGCUGGCGGCGUGCUUAACACAUGCAAGUCGAGCGGUAAGGCCCUCGGGUACGACGAGCGGCGAACGGGUGAGUAACACGUGGGUGACCUGCCUCUAGCUCUGGGAUAAGCCUGGGAAACUAGGGGUCUAAUACCGGAUAUGACUCCACGGCGCAUGUUGUGGGGUGGAAAGCCUUGUGUGGCUAGAGAUGGGCCCGCGGCCUAUCAGCUUGUUGGUGGGGUGAUGGCCUACCAAGGCGACGACGGGUAGCCGGCCUGAGAGGGCGACCGGCCACACUGGGACUGAGACACGACCCAGACUCCUACGGGAGGCGAGCAGUGGGGAAUCUUGACGCAAUGGGCGAAAGCCUGACGCAGCGACGCCGCGUGAGGGAUGACGGCCUGGUGUAAC